GAUGAACGCUGGCGGCGUGCCUAAUACAUGCCAGUCGAGCGAACAGACGAGGAGUUUGUUCCUCUGACGUUAGCGGCGGACGGGAGUGUAACACGUGGAUAACCCACCUAUAAGACUGGGAUAAUCUCGGGAAACCGGAGCAAAUACCGGAUAAUAUAUUGAACCGCAUGGUUCAAUAGUGAAAUACGGCUUUGCUGUCACUUAUAGAUGGAUCCGCGCCGAAUUAGCUAGUUGGUAGGGUAACGGCUUACCAAGGCAACGAUGCGUAGCCGACCUGAGAGGGGGGUAGCCCACCCGGGAGCGGGAACGGGCUCAUGGCGCCUACGGGAGGCAGCAGAAGGGAAUCUGCCGCAGUGGGGGAAAGCCUGACGGAGCAACGCCGCGUGAGAGAUAACGGUCUUCGGUUCGUAAUACUCUGUUUUUGGGGAAAAACAAAUGUGUACGUAGCUGUGCCCGUCUUGACGGUACCUAAUCAGAAAGCCACGGCUAACUACGUG
rnacentral:rRNA from 1 species